rnacentral:rRNA from 1 species
AAUGAACGCUGGCGGCGCGCCUAAUACAUGCAAGUCGAGCGAGAAGACGUAGCAAUACGUUUGUAAAGCGGCGAACGGGUGAGGAAUACAUGGGUAACCUACCCUCGAGUGGGGAAUAACUAGCCGAAAGGUUAGCUAAUACCGCGUACGCUCCUUGGACUUCGGUUCAGGGAGGAAAGCGAUACCGUGGGUAUCGCGCUCUUGGUUGGGCUCAUGUCCUAUCAGCUUGUUGGUGAGGAACGGCUCACCAAGGCUUCGACGGGUAGCUGGUCUGAGAGGACGAUCAGCCACACUGGCACUGCGACACGGGCCAGACUCCUACGGGAGGCAGCAGUAAGGAAUAUUGCGCAAUGGGCGAAAGCCUGACGCAGCGACGCCGCGUGGGGGAUGAAGGUCUUCGGAUUGUAAACCCCUUUCGGGAGGGAAGAUGGAACGAGCAAUCGUUCGGACGGUACCUCCAGAAGCAGCCACGGCUAACUUCGUGCCAGCAGCCG